AGAUUGAACGCUGGCGGCAGGCCUAACACAUGCAAGUCGAGCGGCAGCACGGGUACUUGUACCUGGUGGCGAGCGGCGGACGGGUGAGUAAUGCCUAGGAAUCUGCCUGGUAGUGGGGGAUAACGCUCGGAAACGGACGCUAAUACCGCAUACGUCCUACGGGAGAAAGCAGGGGACCUUCGGGCCUUGCGCUAUCAGAUGAGCCUAGGUCGAUUAGCUAGUUGGUGAGGUAAUGGCUCACCAAGGCGACGAUCCGUAACUGGUCUGAGAGAUGAUCAGUCACACUGAAACUGAGACACGGUCCAGACUCCUACGGGAGCAGCGAGGUAGGGAAUAGUGGAACUAGUGGACGAAGCCUGACUCCGAG
rnacentral:rRNA from 1 species